UUUGAAUAUGAUGUAAAAAUUGUUGCCCUCUUCUGUCUGAAUUCAUGCUAAUGUUUUACAUCCGUGCUAGUAAUUUCUACUAAUGGUUUCAGAACCUUUUGCUGUCUUCCAGGGGCUGUGGUUAAAUUAAAACAUGAAACAGUUGAUGUUGCAGGCUACAGUGUAAUGGUAAGAAGCUUCAUAGCUGACUGUAAAUAGGACAUGUGCGUCACUACUGUAUGUGUUGGCCCUCAGAUAGACUGGCGACCUCUGACCUUUACCAAGACAAGUCUCUAGGACGAUGGAUGAAUCGACAGUUAACUAUGCAACACUGGUAAAGACUAGGGAGCAGCCUUACAGAAGCUGAUUGAAGAUUUAUUUAUCAAGCUGCUGUGCAUGACCUAUAACAGUCAUGGACAUGGUUUUCGUGUCUCAUAAUGUUCAUGCUUCUUCACUUCUCCCUGAUUUUUUCUCCUCUGGGUUUUUGCCUCUUUCUUUCUCCUACUGUGAAGAUGUGAAGCUCUACUUCACCUCCCCCCCAGCGGUCCCCGGGGAUCCCAUCCCGCCCACUGUCUCCCAUGGAUACCUCAGCUCGCCCUCUUAUCGCUGUGGAGACCCAGCUAACCGCUUGCUCCCAUCAGUUACUGAGCUGGAUCCUCAUUCCACACAUCAGAAGCGGAUGCCAUCCCAUCUGAGCCUACAAGAUAACUGCCUUGGAUUCUCAACGUGGACACAUUUCCAACAAGAACCCUUAAAUUAGAGCAUCUUCUGUUACAUCCACAACUGCCAGGAACUACGCAAGGUCAG
rnacentral:lncRNA from 1 species